rnacentral:rRNA from 1 species
UACGGGGGGAGCAAGCGUUGUUCGGAUUUACUGGACGUAAAGGGCGCGUAGGCGGCCUCCGCAAGUCAGUUGUGAAAUCUCCGAGCUUAACUCGGAAAGGUCAACUGAUACUGCGGGGCUAGAGUGCGGAAGGGGCAACUGGAAUUCUUGGUGUAGCGGUGAAAUGCGUAGAUAUCAAGAGGAACACCUGCGGCGAAGGCGGGUUGCUGGGCCGACACUGACGCUGAGGCGCGAAAGCUAGGGGAGCGAACGGG